CACACACCUACACACACACACACACACACACACACACACACACACACACGCAUGCGUUUAAAGAGAAACUGGAUGAAUAUAGAUAUUGGAGACAGGACUUAUAAGCUUUGCUCGAACCCUGUACAAUACAACUAGGUAAAUACACCAAGGAUUACAAGCAACGUAUUCCAACUUGAGUUUUAUUAGAAAUACUUACAAAAUAUAGCAAAAUCAAUUACACGUACAGCCUCUUCACAGCCUCUUAACUUUCAAUAUAAGAAAAAAGCAAUACAUAUUACAUAUGCAGCCUCUGAAAACUUGCUUAUACUAAUGCAUAUACUUUGUGGUGAAAUAGGUAAUACUUUCCUUUACAAAAUAAAGACUAGAAACUCUCUGCAAUCAUGAAAUUAUAGGAACAUUAAAAAAUGCAUUUACUUUGUGGUGAAGUAAUAUUUCUCAUUAAAAAAUAAACAUUGAAACUCUUUGUAAACAUGAAAUAAUAGGAAUGUUUCACUAAAAUUAAUGCAUAUAUGUAUAUUGUGGUGAAAUAAUAAUUUCUGUUCAAAAAUAAACACUAGACACUCACUGUAAACAUUAAAUUACAGUAACAUUUUAAUAAAAAGAUAAUACAUAUACUUUGUGCUAAAAUAACCUCUUUCUUUCAAAAAUAAAUACUAGCAACUUUGUAAACAUGAAAUAAUAGCGACAUUUUAAUACAGACCUGAGAUAAGUAAGAAUAUAAAAGAAUAUAAAUUACACACACACACACACACCUUGGACAAAGUGCCGCAUAGGAGGUUGCUGUGGUCUGAGGGGUGGUUUGCUGAGAUGGAUGGAAAGUAUCUUGUUUGAUAGAGAGAUGAGAACAGUGGUAAAAGAUUGGGAGUCAUCGUGGAGGAAGGUCAAAAGUGGAGUGCCCCAAGGUUCAGUACUGGCACCAAUCAUGUUUGCAAUCUAUAUAAUAAUAGAACAGAGUGUGAUAGCUACAUGAGCCUUUUUUGCAGUUGAUGCCAAGUUUUAAAAAAAAAAAAAAAAAAAAAAAAAAGCUGAGAGCGAGGAAGAUUGUGGAGUGAUGCAGGAGGAUCUGAACAAGAUAUUGGAGUGGAGUUACAGAUGGGAAAUAGAGUUUAAUCUAUAGAAAUGUAAAGUAAUGGAGUUUGGAAAGAGUGUGAGGAGAGAAAAGGGAAAUUAUGUGUUGAAUGGUGAGAGGUUGAGUUGAUCAGAAGCGCUAAAGGAUCUGGGUGUUACAGUGACUGGAAAUUUUACCCCAAAGAGACGUUUUAGCAAGAUUACAGGGGAAACAUAUAACUUGUUGAGAAGAAUAAGGCUGGCUUUUGCAUAUAUGGUUGAAGAAAUGAUCAGAAAGAUGAUUAUAUCACUGAUUAGACUGGAGUAUGCAGCUGUAGUGUGGUCGCUCUACAAGAAAAAGGAUAUAAGGAAGUUGGAGAGUUCAUAGAGUUGCAACAAAGAUUGUGCCAAGUAUCAGAGACUUGUCAUAUGAUGAAUGAUUGGCAAAGUUGCAUCUACCAACGUUGGAAAAAGGAGAGAAAGGGGGGACUUGAUAACUUGAUGGUAUGGGUUACAUGAGAUACUAGAUGACAUGGAAGGAGACUGAAGAUGAGUGAUUGCAGAAGAGAUGUCUAAAAGUAGUUUCCCAUAUAGAAAAAUUGAUGUAUGAAACAGUUUGGAUAAGGAGAUAGUAAAUGAAAGAAGUAUACAGGGAUUCAAGGCUAAGUUGGACACACACACACACACAUCUAUCAAUGCUACCUAGAUGUAUUAUCUAGGUAGCAUUGACAGAUGGUCCUUUACACUGGUCCACUGGUCCAUUGCAACUGCCUGGUUGCAGCAGUUGAGCCUCCCAGUGGAGCCUGGCCAGAUGCUCUGCCAAUCAGCUUAGGGACUGCUGAUACCAAAAUUAAAGUUAUAUAAACAAAGUUAUCAGGUUCUGCUUCAGAUUUGGAAGAAUCACCGGUACCACCAAAAAUACUAGCAUAUUUCUCAUAAUCAUUAUCUUCCUCUGAAUUGUCAACAGUAGGCAGCAGUGGCACUAUCUAUACUUUCGGCUUCCUGAGAGGUGUUAGUGUCACUACUAGCAAUCAUAGUACUACUAGUGCUAGCUAUCGAGGUGCUGGGCCUUACAUCACCAUGGAGAUAGGUAUAUCAUAAGAAUAGCAGCUCCUAGCAGGAGUGCAUUUAGGGCACGGUGUGGUGAUAAUUGCAACAUUUCUAACACGUACGAUGGGGUUUUGACAAGUGGACAGGCGUGUCUAUGUCACAAGGGGUGUAUUUUUCCAUACUGGCCACAUGAUUUCUUCCAAGUCGAUGGACGAUGAGACUGCGAGCUCCGGGGUGAAGAAAGGGAAGAGCCCACGUGGAAAAAUACACCUUGUGACAUAAACACGCCUGUCUGUUUGUCAAAACCCCGUCAUACGUGCUAGAAAUGUUGUAAUUACCACCACACCGUGCCCUAAAAGCGCACCCACUAGGAGCCGCUAUUCUUAAGGUUUACCAGUAUUUAUACAAUUUAAUAUAUACUUUCCAUUGCAAACCCCCAUUAUCUAAGAUUAAAAAAUACUAUACCAGCCUUGUAGGCAGGUGGCCUGGUGAGUUCUGAUUGUGUUUCUUGUUGGGUGUGUUUUUUUUUUCCAAAUAACUGAUUUUAGUGGUAUUGCUGGGGGUGGGAGGGCGAAGGGGGUUGUGCAGUUAGAAAACGUGAUUUAUGACAGGAAGGAAUAUCACAUUAGUUAAAAGCACAUCAAAACACCAAAAAAAAUACUUAUGAUCAUAUAUAGCAGUGCAUGUAAAGUGAAAAUUUACCUAUAAUUUAUUUACUUUAGGUCCACAUCCACAUCAUGUAUAGUGACAAAACUUAAGUUGUUGUACAUGUAGUAGUUCUGUAUGUUAAUUACAUAACCUUUAUAUAGAUAGACCAAAAUAAAUAAUACAGGACACUGUAUACAACACACGAGGCGGAGCAGGGCAUGAAACCUCAUCAACGGUAAACGAGACACAACACAGCACACAGCACACGAGACACCGUGUUAAGAAGCAGAGACCAGCACAUUAAACCUGCUGAGCUGUGCACUUAGGCUAUGCUGAACUUGAAGGCACCAGUCUGGCACAGCGCGACACAGUUUCUUCCUCUUCUUGGGUGUUUUAUGGGGCUAGUUAGGCUGUGGGGCCACAGCCUCUACAGCCCCGUCUGUGGUAUAGUUGGUAUCAGGUGUUGUUUUUGUUUGCCGUUCUGGCACCAGGGUGGGAGUUAGAUCCUGUCGAGCUGCCCUGGCUUAUGCAGGAAAGUUUGCGUGCACUUGAUUUCUUACCUAGAUUUCUUACCUAGAUGGGGAGAACCCCUUCUAGAAUCAGGUGACGCCUCCAACCAAGACAGCAAGUAGAUUGUCCUUUAGAUGUUCUGAUGGUUGGCUAAUGUGGCAUCACCAAGACCACACAAACAACUGCCAUAAUACUCUUGAGUAAGUGCCAAGACAAUAUAGUCAGGUUGGCAAUUCUGAGUGGAGACACAGCACAGCACAGGACACAAGUUUACAAGUUAAAGAGAUACUCAACAACCCAAAGUCAAUCAAAAUCAAACAAAAUUUGACCGAGAGAAGUGUGGAGAUGUCAUUUGAAAGCAUUAACAGAAUUCACCACAACAACUGAUUCUGGUAAAUUAUUCCAAAUGCUAAUGACCCGCACAGAGAAGAAACGAGCUCGAACAUCAGUAUUGUAACGAGGAACAAAAAGCUUAAAGGAGUGGCCUCUCGUGUGUCUGUUGAAAUUUCUAACAAAGAGGUGACCUAGAUUCGGACAAAACCCUUUCAGAAUGUUGAACACCAUAAUGAGAUCAUCUCUGAUCAAUCUUCCUUUAAUGGAAUAAAGACUCAAUCUAGCGAGACGUUCAGUGUAUGGCAGAUCAUGGAAACCAGUAAUUUUCUUGGUCCACCUCCUCUGAACAUUUUCUAAAAGCCUAAUGUCUCCUGUAUAACCAGUGAACCAAACCACAGAGGCAAAGUCCAAGAUAGGGCGAAUAUGCGAGAUAAAAACUGUCUUCAUGAAAUCAGGAGAUCUGCAAAGGGUACCCUUUAGAAUACUGUAACCAAUGCCUCCAGCCUUGCCAGUGAUUUCUCUCAAAUGCAAAUGAAACUUUAGGGAGGGAUCCACCCUGACCCCAAGAUCCUUAUAGUUAUCUACAUCUUGUAUGGGUUGGUUUUCAAUAAAAUACGGUAAAGGAGCAGGAGCAUAAAGGAAAUUCCUACAAAAGUUCAUUCUGGCACAUUUGCCAACUGAGAAAGAUAAACCCCAAGAGCUACUUGUGUUGUAAAGAGUGUUGAUGUCUCUCUGCAAAAUACUGUGAGAAAUUAAUUGGUUAGACUUAGAAAUUUCAGUAGCUAGGUAUAAUUUAAGCUCAUCAGCAAAUAAACAAAACUUACAAUUUAGUUCUGAAACAACAUGAUUAAUGUAAAUGAGAAAAAGCAAGGGAACACCACUGCUUACAUCCGCUCUAUAACUCAUACUUCCAUGGACAACUACUUGCACUCCCACUCAAAUAGUCUUUCAGCCAUCCCAGCAAACACCCCCCAAUCCCAAUACUAGACAGCAUUGUGAGUAAUAAUCUAUGAUUAACAACAUCAAAAGCUUUCUUGAAAUAAAAAAAUAUCACAUCCAUUGACAUACCACUAUCAUAGAAAUGAGUCACAUAGUCAUAAGUAAACAACAGUUGCUCGAAAACUGAUCUACCCGAUCUAAAACCAUACUGAUGCUGUGAAAGUAAGUUAUUAUCUUCCAAAUAAGAAGUAAGUUGAGACACAAUUAUUCUUUCAAAAGAUUUACAGCACACUGAUGUCAAACUGAUUGGUCUAUAGUUAAGUUCCCACACCCCCGAGGGGUGUGGAUCCCCCUGGUUCAGAACCCCUGCCGGGCCACACACCCAGCUGCCACCUCUGCUCUCCUCUCUCCCUGUUCUGCCUUUACCUCUCUUGCCUCAGAUUCCACCACCAUCACACCUCCAUCCCUCCUGCCUUGCCCCAACCAGUUUACUUUGCCUUGGUUUCACAUGUCUUCUGCUGAUUUCGUUUCCGCAAGGAGGCUUGGCGGUUGUCUGGCAAGAACAAUGGUGCCCAUCAUGGGGGGGCAGCUGUGGGCAUCCCCAGCCAGCUGCAGCCAUUUGUGGUUGAGGUUGCUCCAUGAUGCGAGUGAGGCUGAAGCACACACUGGGCUUCAUGUCUUUGUUGCAGUGUACGCUCCUACGAGAAGUGCGAGACAAGAGGAGGUGUUCUACGCCAAACUCAACUCCACACUAGACCAGUGCCCCUCCUGGGACACACUCAUUGCCCCUCAACAGGCUCAAAGACUGCCAUAAACUCAGGAGCAUGCAGUGACAAUCUCAAAUUAGCUCAAUGUGCUCAGCACCCUUGAGAACCCUGUAGAACUGUGGAACACCUUCAAAUGUGACACUCUUCAGCUGCCAAGGAGUGCAUUGGAGAGUGCCCGAGAUCUAGGAGUGGCUUCACCUCGGCAGAAACGCUGGAGAAUAUUGAGGAGAGUCGCCCUGCCAGGCUGGCUGGGAAUCAGGACCAAUAUAGGGUUAUGUCACCUAGGAGUGAAGCUCUCCUGAGGAGAGACAAGGAGAGGCAUGUCAGGGGUCUUGUUGAGGAUGUUGAGUGCCAUUUUAAUAAAAAUGACCUGCGACCUGCUUACCAAGGCUCUGAAGAAGCUCCACUCCGAGCCUCCCUCUCAGGUGAACACUAUCCAAACAGCUGACAGCUGCCUCGUGUCGGACUUGGAAGGGCUGAGGGCUCGUUGGGCUGAGUACCUUGCUUCCCCAGCCAUCGUCUCCUGUUGCUGAUGCCCACCACCUCCUCCACCUCCAUCACCUCCACUCAGCAGAUUAGUUUCCCUUCACCACUUAAAGCCAGUCCUCACAUGCCAGCUGUGCCACAUUUUUAAGGCAAUGUUAAAGAUCUUAUUCAAUUUAUUAUAAACUUUAUUUCAUUUAUUACACGUUUUCUCUACCAUUUGUGUACUUUGUAUUAUUCCCGAGUUAACGUAUGUUUACACUGCACACAUAAGAACAUAAGAAGAACAUAAGAACAUAGGGAAACUGCAAGAGGCCGAGUGGCCUACACAGGGCAGCUCCAGAAUCCCCCCCACUAUUCACGAUGGGUGAGGUGUAGUUUCAGGGGUUACAGGUAGAGGCUUGAUCCUCGUUUACCUUCGGUACGGGCGUACGCUCCAGUACCCUGUUACCUUACUGCUCCCACACCUCGCUACCACCUGUCAUCCUCGUCCAUGUAGUUAUCUUGUCUACUCUUAAAACAAGCUAUCGUCCCUGCACUAACUAUGUGAUUGCCAAGUCUAUUCCAUUCCCCCACCACCCUAUUACUAAACCAAUGCUUGCCUAUAUCUCUCCUAAAUCUAUACUUUUCUAAUUUAAAUCCAUUACUGCAUGUUCUAUCCUGCUGGCUAAUUCUCAGAACUUUACUUAUAUCGCCUUUGUUGUAACCCUUGACUCAUUUGAAUACUUCUAUCAGAUCUCCCCGCACUCUUCGUCUCUCUAGUGAAUGUAAGUUUAGAUGUUUCAGCCUAUUUUGAUAUGGGAGGUUCCUCAGUCCCUGAAUCAUCUUGGUCAUCCUCCUCUGAACUGAUUCUAGCAAGUUGAUGUCCAUUCUGUAGUGUGGGCACCAAAACUGGACAGCAUAAUCUAAGUGUGGCCUAACUAACGUAGAUAAUGUAGAUAAUGAAUAGAAGCGGGCCUAAAACUGAACCUUGAGGAACCCCACUGGUAACAUUACCCCAUUCGGAUUUUUUACCGUUAAUGGUAACCCUCUGUUUCCUGUCGCUAAUCCACGCCUUAAUCCAAUCAAAUACCUUCCCUCUUAUCCCAUGAGCCCUGACUUUAUUUAACAGUCUCUUGUGAGGUAUAAACUGUUUCUGUCCUAGUUUAAUCUCCCUGACCAGACUAUUGUACUCACCCUCCAAGCUACUGACCUGACUAGUGACCUCACCAGAGAUUAACGCCCCUCCCUGCUCUGGGUCCUGACCUACUUCUGAUCUCACUCCCCUAAGCCUCUGCAGCUGUUUUCUUAACCCCUCGUAGUCUGCCUUCCUGAAGUCAGGUAUUAAUGUGUUGUUACUGCUGACUCUAUCCUCCCAUUUAAUAUUAAAUCUAAUUUCCUUAUGAUCACUGUUACCUAAUGAAUCCCCAACCUCAAUGUUGCUUAUUAUGUCCUCUCUAUUAGUUAACAACAAAUCCAAAAUAUUUUCUUCCCUCGUUGGUGUUCUAAUUAACUGUUUAAGGAAACUAUCCUGUAUCACAUCUAACAAAUCCUGUGCCUCUUGGUCUCCGGAUAAAGUAUCCCACUCUAUGUUCCUAUAAUUGAAAUCCCCAAUUACACACACAUUCCUAUAUCUUGACGCCCUACUAAUUUCUUGUAAAAGGGGUUGGCUACUGUCCCUGGUAAGGUUGGGUGGUCUGUAAAGUACUCCGAUGACAAGCUUCUCCUUCCUACCUAUUGUUUCUACCCAGAGGGAUUCUGUAUUGCUAUCUUCCUUGAUUGAGUUGUUAAUGACACACUUAAGAUUGUCCCUGACGAAGAGUGCGACCCCACCCCCCUUCCUGCCUAUUCGAUCCUGAUGGAAUAACUUAUACCCUUCAAUCUCUAAUUCUGGGAGAAAGUGUCUGUCUGCAGUGUUUAUCCAUGACUCUGUGAUCGCUAUCAUAUCAAAUUUCUCUACGCACGCCUUUCCCCUCAAUAAAUCUGUCUUAUUCCUAAUACUUCUACUGUUUGUAUAGUACACAUUUAGACCUACCCCUUGCCUUACCCUGCAGCCGCUAUUAUUAUUACUACAUUUAGUGCCACCUGUUUCUUCACGCUCACCUGUCACCCUACACUGCUGUACAGUCUUGUAUAUCUUUACACUGCACACCCAUUGCUACAUGCUCACCUGUCACCCUACACUGCUGUACAGUCUUGUAUAUCUUUACACUGCACACCCAUUGCUACAUGCUCACCUGUCACACCCUACACUGCUGUACAGUCUUGUAUAUCUUUACACUGCACACCCAUUGCUGCAUGCUCACCUGUCACACCCUACACUGCUGUACAGUCUUGUAUAUCUUUACACUGCACACCCAUUGCUGCAUGCUCACCUGUCACACCCUACACUGCUGUACAGUCUUGUAUAUCUUUACACUGCACACCCAUUGCUGCAUGCUCACCUGUCACACCCUACACUGCUGUACAGUCUUGUAUAUCUCUACACUGCACACCCAUUGCUACAUGCUCACCUGUCACCCUACACUGCUGUACAGUCUUGUAUAUCUUUACACUGCACACCCAUUGCUGCAUGCUCACCUGUCACCCUACACUGCUGUACAGUCUUGUAUAUCUUUACACUGCACACCCAUUGCUACAUGCUCACCUGACACACCCUACACUGCUGUACAGUCUUGUAUAUCUUUACACUGCACACCCAUUGCUGCAUGCUCACCUGACACACCCUACACUGCUGUACAGUCUUGUAUAUCUUUACACUGCACACCCAUUGCUGCAUGCUCACCUGUCACCCUGCACUGCUGUACAGUCUUGUAUAUCUCUACACUGCACACCCAUUGCUACAUGCUCACCUGUCACACACACACACACACACACACACACACUACUGUACAAUCCUGAAUAUGUACACACCUUACUUACAAACCACUGCUUGCACCUGAGCCUGUUGGUAAGUAGGGGAGGCUGUGUGCUUAUUAAGAGAAACUGAGCUGAACAUAUAAUGUCCCAGCUCAGUGUUGUGGUGAACAGUCAUACAUGGCUUGUGUUCCGUCUGUUCCAGGGUGCUGCUGCAGCACUCCAAGUGUGGCAGAGAAGACUGCAGAGGGCCGCGCUCCAAGCUCUCCCGCACUAAGAGAUGCCUGUCCUUUAAACACCAACAGCAACUUCAAAACUUUCAGUAAAGAAAGCUGGUGAGGAGCCGCGCCUGACUGACUGGUGUUGGGACUGACCCGAAGGAGUGGCCGAGGAAGGGACAGCCUGUGGGGUGGGCGAAGGAACCAUUGUGCCCGAGCCCUUCCUGUGACAGCCUUCAAAGGGCAAUGCUGGCAGCCUCUUCAAUCCAGUGAUGUAUUGAGAGAGAGAGAGAGAGAGAGAGAGAGAGAGAGAGAGAGAGAGAGAGAGAGAGAGAGAGAGAGAGAGAGAGAGAGAGAGAGAGAGAGAGAGAGAGAGAGAGAGAGAGA